rnacentral:rRNA from 1 species
AAUAGAUACCCCGGUAGUCCACGCCGUAAACGUUGGGCGCUAGAUGUGGGGACCAUUCCACGGUUUCCGUGUCGCAGCUAACGCAUUAAGCGCCCCGCCUGGGGAGUACGGCCGCAAGGCUAAAACUCAAAGGAAUUGACGGGGGCCCGCACAAGCGGCGGAGCAUGCGGAUUAAUUCGAUGCAACGCGAAGAACCUUACCAAGGCUUGACAUAUACCUGAAAAGGCUGGAAACAGUCUCCCCGCAAGGCACGUACUACGGGAGUAGGGUGCAUGGUUGUCGUCAGCUCGUGUCGUGAGAUGUUGGGUUAAGUCCCGCAACGAGCGCAACCCUCGUUCUAUGUUGCCAGCGCGUAAUGGCGGGAACUCAUAGGAGACUGCCGGGGUCAACUCGGAGGAAGGUGGGGAUGACGUCAAAUCAUCAUGCCCCUUAUGUCUUGGGCUUCACGCAUGCUACAAUGGCCGGUACAAAGGGCUGCAAUACCGCAAGGUGAGCGAAUCCCAAAAAGCCGGUCUCAGUUCGGAUUGAGGU